CAUGCACAUAGCCAAAAACAUGGUACUUUUGAAAGUGUUCAUAAUUUUGGCAAUGUCAUGCAAAUGCUGAAUUGUAGAUUGGGUCAAUAAAGAUAAAGAAAAAUCUACUUAAAAUUUACAAUAAUGAGAGACAAAGUUGGCUUGAUUGCUAAAGAAAUGUGCCCAGCAAAACUUGUUUGUAUCAUAUACAACCAUCUUCUUAUACAACUGUUUUUUUCUCAAUUGUAUAGAUAUUUUGAUACUAUGCUGUACCUAUGUUAGUUGUCAUUUCGAAUGCCUCCUGUGGACACAUACUGGCGUUUAACUGAGUGUGUGGUCUUUCCUUGUUAUGUAUUUACUGUGGUCUUUGAUUAUAUAUUACUGGCUGUUUGUGUUCUUGAAGAAUGGGGUAUACCUGUAUAUUUGUUAGCUUAUGACUAGUUUUACUUGAUUAAAACAUGAUCAUGAUUUUAACAUUUGAAUAUUAUCGUUGAUCAUUUCAAAUUCAUCGUUGAUCAUUUGAAAUUUAUCGUUGAUCAUUUAAAAUUUAUCGUUGAUCAUUUGAAAUUUAUCGUUGAUCAUUUGAAAUUUAUCGUUGAUCAUUUGAAAUUUAUCGUUGAUCAUUUGCAAUUUCAAACAUUGAUUUGUAAAACAAAGAGGGAAUUUAUGUUUCAGUACCUGGAGCUUUGAUUGUACAUAAUGACUUGUUGGUAUUGUCCAUGGCUGGUAUUCUUGGGUUCUGAGAAAUGUUAAAGUGUUAUCACUAGUGAUGCACCAAUAUACAUAUUUAGCGAUAUACCAAUUAACAGAUAUUAAAAUGCCGAUAUUGUGCCGAUACCGAUA